rnacentral:rRNA from 1 species
UACGUAGGUCCCGAGCGUUGUCCGGAUUUAUUGGGUUUAAAGGGUGCGUAGGCGGGCUGUUAAGUCAGCGGUAAAAGCCCGGGGCUCAACCCCGGCGAGCCGUUGAAACUGGCUGUCUUGAGAUGUCGAGAGGUAUGCGGAAUGCGCAGUGUAGCGGUGAAAUGCUUAGAUAUUGCGCAGAACUCCGAUUGCGAAGGCAGCAUACCGGCGGCGAUCUGACGCUGGGGCACGAAAGCGUGGGUAUCGAACAGG